UUUGUGACAAAAUUGGCGGGAAAUUUUUAAUAACUUUGAGCGCUUGGCAAAUCUAAACUAAACAAUAUUUUUCUAUUAUUUAAAAUGGAUAUUGAAGUUGGAGGAAAUCAAAAAGCUGACAAAAGUGUUCGUCUUCUGUAGAGGAAAAAAAGGUGUUCUGCGUAUUUGUGCGUUGUUUAAUUUUGGUUUGCGGCUUUUUGCGGCUUUUCCGAUGCUUUAAUUAUUUAGAUGUGCUUGAAUUCUGUCA